rnacentral:rRNA from 1 species
GCGGCGUGCUUAACACAUGCAAGUCGAACGGAAAGGCCCUGCUUUUGUGGGGUGCUCGAGUGGCGAACGGGUGAGUAACACGUGAGUAACCUGCCCUUGACUUUGGGAUAACUUCAGGAAACUGGGGCUAAUACCGGAUAGGAGCUCCUGCUGCAUGGUGGGGGUUGGAAAGUUUCGGCGGUUGGGGAUGGACUCGCGGCUUAUCAGCUUGUUGGUGGGGUAGUGGCUUACCAAGGCUUUGACGGGUAGCCGGCCUGAGAGGGUGACCGGCCACAUUGGGACUGAGAUACGGCCCAGACUCCUACGGGAGGCAGCAGUGGGGAAUAUUGCACAAUGGGCGGAAGCCUGAUGCAGCAACGCCGCGUGCGGGAUGACGGCCUUCGGGUUGUAAACCGCUUUCGCCUGUGACGAAGCGUGAGUGACGGUAAUGGGUAAAGAAGCACCGGCUAACUACGUGCCAGCAGCCGCGGUGAUACGUAGGGUGCGAGCGUUGUCCGGAUUUAUUGGGCGUAAAGGGCUCGUAGGUGGUUGAUCGCGUCGGAAGUGUAAUCUUGGGGCUUAACCCUGAGCGUGCUUUCGAUACGGGUUGACUUGAGGAAGGUAGGGGAGAAUGGAAUUCCUGGUGGAGCGGUGGAAUGCGCAGAUAUCAGGAGGAACACCAGUGGCGAAGGCGGUUCUCUGGGCCUUUCCUGACGCUGAGGAGCGAAAGCGUGGGGAGCGAACAGGCUUAGAUACCCUGGUAGUCCACGCUGUAAACGGUGGGUACUAGGUGUGGGGUCCAUUCCACGGGUUCCGUGCCGUAGCUAACGCUUUAAGUACCCCGCCUGGGGAGUACGGCCGCAAGGCUAAAACUCAAAGGAAUUGACGGGGCCCCGCACAAGCGGCGGAGCAUGCGGAUUAAUUCGAUGCAACGCGUAGAACCUUACCUGGGUUUGACAUGGAUCGGGAGUGCUCAGAGAUGGGUGUGCCUCUUUUGGGGUCGGUUCACAGGUGGUGCAUGGCUGUCGUCAGCUCGUGUCGUGAGAUGUUGGGUUAAGUCCCGCAACGAGCGCAACCCUUGUUCACUGUUGCCAGCACGUUAUGGUGGGGACUCAGUGGAGACCGCCGGGGUCAACUCGGAGGAAGGUGGGGAUGACGUCAAGUCAUCAUGCCCCUUAUGUCCAGGGCUUCACGCAUGCUACAAUGGCUGGUACAGAGAGUGGCGAGCCUGUGAGGGUGAGCGAAUCUCGGAAAGCCGGUCUCAGUUCGGAUUGGGGUCUGCAACUCGACCUCAUGAAGUCGGAGUCGCUAGUAAUCGCAGAUCAGCAACGCUGCGGUGAAUACGUUCCCGGGGCUUGUACACACCGCCCGUCAAGUCAUGAAAGUUGGUAACACCCGAAGCCGGUGGCCUAACCAUUGUGGGGGAGCCGUCGAAGGUGGGACUGGUGAUUAGGACUAA